GGUUAAGCGACUAAGCGUACACGGUGGAUGCCCUGGCAGUCAGAGGCGAUGAAGGACGUGCUAAUCUGCGAAAAGCGUCGGUAAGGUGAUAUGAACCGUUAUAACCGGCGAUGUCCGAAUGGGGAAACCCAGUGCAAUUCGUUGCACUAUCGUUAACUGAAUACAUAGGUUAACGAGGCGAACCGGGGGAACUGAAACAUCUAAGUACCCCGAGGAAAAGAAAUCAACCGAGAUUCCCCCAGUAGCGGCGAGCGAACGGGGAGCAGCCCAGAGUCUGAAUCAGCUUGUGUGUUAGUGGAACGGUCUGGAAAGUCCGACGGUACAGGGUGAUAGUCCCGUACACCAAAAUGCACAGGCUGUGAACUCGAAGAGUAGGGCGGGACACGUGGUAUCCUGUCUGAAUAUGGGGGGACCAUCCUCCAAGGCUAAAUACUCCUGACUGACCGAUAGUGAACCAGUACCGUGAGGGAAAGGCGAAAAGAACCCCGGCGAGGGGAGUGAAAAAGAACCUGAAACCGUGUACGUACAAGCAGUGGGAGCACCUUCGGGUGUGACUGCGUACCUUUUGUAUAAUGGGUCAGCGACUUAUAUUCUGUAGCAAGGUUAACCGUAUAGGGGAGCCGCAGGGAAACCGAGUCUUAACUGGGCGUUAAGUUGCAGGGUAUAGACCCGAAACCCGGUGAUCUAGCCAUGGGCAGGUUGAAGGUUGGGUAACACUAACUGGAGGACCGAACCGACUAAUGUUGAAAAAUUAGCGGAUGACUUGUGGCUGGGGGUGAAAGGCCAAUCAAACCGGGAGAUAGCUGGUUCUCCCCGAAAGCUAUUUAGGUAGCGCCUCGUGAAUUCAUCUUCGGGGGUAGAGCACUGUUUCGGCUAGGGGGUCAUCCCGACUUACCAACCCGAUGCAAACUACGAAUACCGAAGAAUGUUAUCACGGGAGACACACGGCGGGUGCUAACGUCCGUCGUGAAGAGGGAAACAACCCAGACCGCCAGCUAAGGUCCCAAAGUCAUGGUUAAGUGGGAAACGAUGUGGGAAGGCACAGACAGCCAGGAUGUUGGCUUAGAAGCAGCCAUCAUUUAAAGAAAGCGUAAUAGCUCACUGGUCGAGUCGGCCUGCGCGGAAGAUGUAACGGGGCUAAACCAUGCACCGAAGCUGCGGCAGCGACACUAUGUGUUGUUGGGUAGGGGAGCGUUCUGUAAGCCUGCGAAGGUGUGCUGUGAGGCAUGCUGGAGGUAUCAGAAGUGCGAAUGCUGACAUAAGUAACGAUAAAGCGGGUGAAAAGCCCGCUCGCCGGAAGACCAAGGGUUCCUGUCCAACGUUAAUCGGGGCAGGGUGAGUCGACCCCUAAGGCGAGGCCGAAAGGCGUAGUCGAUGGGAAACAGGUUAAUAUUCCUGUACUUGGUGUUACUGCGAAGGGGGGACGGAGAAGGCUAUGUUAGCCGGGCGACGGUUGUCCCGGUUUAAGCAUGUAGGCUGGUUAUCCAGGCAAAUCCGGAUAAUCAAGGCUGAGGUGUGAUGACGAGGCACUACGGUGCUGAAGUAACAAAUGCCCUGCUUCCAGGAAAAGCCUCUAAGCAUCAGGUAACAUCAAAUCGUACCCCAAACCGACACAGGUGGUCAGGUAGAGAAUACCAAGGCGCUUGAGAGAACUCGGGUGAAGGAACUAGGCAAAAUGGUGCCGUAACUUCGGGAGAAGGCACGCUGGUGUGUAGGUGAAGUCCCUGCGGAUGGAGCUGAGACCAGUCGAAGAUACCAGCUGGCUGCAACUGUUUAUUAAAAACACAGCACUGUGCAAACACGAAAGUGGACGUAUACGGUGUGACGCCUGCCCGGUGCCGGAAGGUUAAUUGAUGGG
rnacentral:rRNA from 1 species